CCUACGGGGGGCAGCAGUGAGGAAUAUUGGUCAAUGGGCGUAAGCCUGAACCAGCCAAGUCGCGUGAGGGAUGAAGGAUCUAUGGUUCGUAAACCUCUUUUAUAAGGGAAUAAAGUGCGGGACGUGUCCUGUUUUGUAUGUACCUUAUGAAUAAGGAUCGGCUAACUCCGUGCCAGCAGCCGCGGUAAUACGGAGGAUCCGAGCGUUAUCCGGAUUUAUUGGGUUUAAAGGGUGCGUAGGCGGCCUUUUAAGUCAGCGGUGAAAGUCUGUGGCUCAACCAUAGAAUUGCCGUUGAAACUGGGGGGCUUGAGUAUGUUUGAGGCAGGCGGAAUGCGUGGUGUAGCGGUGAAAUGCAUAGAUAUCACGCAGAACCCCGAUUGCGAAGGCAGCCUGCCAAGCCAUGACUGACGCUGAUGCACGAAAGCGUGGGGAUCGAACA
rnacentral:rRNA from 1 species